rnacentral:rRNA from 1 species
GACGGGGGAUGCAAGCGUUAUCCGGAAUCACUGGGCGUAAAGCGUCUGUAGGUGGUGAUGCAAGUCACUGGUGCAAAACUCUGGCUCAACCGGAAGAAAGCCAGUGAAACUGCAUGACUAGAGUGUGGGAGAGGUAGAAGGAAUUCCCUGUGUAGCGGUGAAAUGCGUAGAUACAGGGAAGAACACCGGAGGCGAAAGCGUUCUACUGGAACACAACUGACACUGAGAGACUAAAGCUAGGGGAGCGAAUGGG